rnacentral:rRNA from 2 species
UGCAGUCGAGCGAACUGAUUAGAAGCUUGCUUCUAUGACGUUAGCGGCGGACGGGUGAGUAACACGUGGGCAACCUGCCUGUAAGACUGGGAUAACUUCGGGAAACCGAAGCUAAUACCGGAUAGGAUCUUCUCCUUCAUGGGAGAUGAUUGAAAGAUGGUUUCGGCUAUCACUUACAGAUGGGCCCGCGGUGCAUUAGCUAGUUGGUGAGGUAACGGCUCACCAAGGCAACGAUGCAUAGCCGACCUGAGAGGGUGAUCGGCCACACUGGGACUGAGACACGGCCCAGACUCCUACGGGAGGCAGCAGUAGGGAAUCUUCCGCAAUGGACGAAAGUCUGACGGAGCAACGCCGCGUGAGUGAUGAAGGCUUUCGGGUCGUAAAACUCUGUUGUUAGGGA